UUGUUUAUCAAUUGACAGUUGUUUUUUUUUUUUUUGUUGCUCCGCCGAAGCGGGGAUUUAGUUUGGGGGGACAAAGAGUAUAGAAGGAACGGACUCUCUGGUUGUUGCAAAUGCUGCGGUUGCCUCUGUCUCUCCACAGCUCUCCAUCUCCAUCAGCAUCCCCAAUCCCCUCCCCACCCCAUCUCUCUACGCUGACGGAAUGUUUGCCUGGUGUUUUGUAAGUUGUAUUUUAAAGCCCGAUGCUGUCAGGAUAGCAGCCAAGAGCUCAUGUCGAACAACUAAGUAGUGGCUUUGGACACAUAUUUUCGGGCGUGGCAACCUACGCAGCGGGGCAAAACAUUCGCAGAAGAUAAAGAUACAUUCUAUAAAAUAAUAUAUAUUAAGCAAGAGGAAAAUAAACAAUGA